rnacentral:lncRNA from 1 species
UAGCCCCCAGGUUAUGAAAUUUUUCUGUUGUUAUAGCAACCAGAGCAGACGAGGAAAACCUACCACUAAUGUUGAAGAAACCCAACAUUAUGACAGGUGAGAAUCACAUAAAUUGGUCUGGACUGGUAGAGCUCAGAAAUGGCCUUCAGACCACAUCAGCAAAGAAAACCCACACACAUAGACACACACAGCUGCCAGGAGUAUCUAUGGAGUGACAAUAAGAAGUGUGCACUGUGAAAAUUGACAUCCUGAGUACAUAAGAGCUGUCAACAUCUAGGGGAAGACUGUGACCUUACUUCGUAGCCCUCACUCCUCCCCAAGGGACAAGAUUAAGAUAUUUAGAAGCCCUACACACUUAAGGACUGUGGUGCUUCAUUCACAUGUCAUCCUUAAUGAAAACAACAUCAGAGAGUAAAAUAAAUGUAAAGAUGUUCAGCGAAGUUUGUCCAAAAAUACUAUUGCCUUAAGCACAAUGGUGAGUCUGCCUUGUGGGUAAUCAGUGACUUUUCCAUCCCCAGUGCUUUUUUUUUUUUUUUUUGUCAGUCCAACAGCUAUUACCCUGGUUUGAAGAGAUCAAGAGCAGGCAUCCCAAAUCAGCAACUCCCUCGGGGCAUUGAAGUAAAUGGUUUCUUUUAUUCUACCUCUCAGUCCUUUUCCUCUAACUUUACAUCUACCUUCCUCAGUUCUGAACUUUUUUUUUUUGAGAUGGAGUCUCACUCUUUCACCCAGGCCCCAGGCUGGAGUGCAGUGGCUUGAUCUCUGCUCACUGCAAGCUCUGCCUCCUGGGUUCAAGUGAUUCUCCUGCCUCAGCCUCCUGAGUAGCUGGAACUACAGGCACGCACCACCAUGCCCAGCUAAUUUUUGUGUUUUAAGUAGAGAUGGGGUUUCACCAUGUUGGCCAGGAUGGUCUCGAUCUCUUGACCUCGUGAUCCACCCGCCUCUGCCUCCCAAAGUGCUGGGAUUACAGGCGUGAGCCACCACGCCCAACCCUCAGUUCUGAAUUUAAAACCAAAGACCUGGGAUAGACUUUGGAGAAAGUAGGAAGACCUCGUGACCGUAGUUUAUGUUGUUCUUUUAAGUAUUUGGUCCUUAAAUAUGAGUAACGAGUCCAAAUCACCAGCAGAGCUCCUUAAAAAAUACAGACUGCUAAGCCCCAUUUCAGAAUGGCAGACUGAGUAGUUCUGAGAUGAGGCCUGAGAAUUUGCACUUCUAAUAAGUUUUCAGGUAAUACUUAGAUACUGAUCUGGGAACCUCACUUUGAGAACAAAUAUUCUAGGUCUUGCUUUGGAAUUUAGGUUUCAACUCCAGCCGGUAAGGGUAAUGGUUAGUUAUUUUGUUUCCUUGCCUCAGUUGUGUGUGAGUGCAUGUGUAUGUGUGUGCACACAUGUGUGUAUUCCCAGGGAACUCUUAGAGGAGCAGUUGUGCCUGAGGGCAAGAUUCUGCAUCUUUGCAUCCCUUGAACAAAUGCCACCUUUAAAAUAAUCUUUUCAAGGUACCCAAGAACAAGACCCAAAUAUUACUUCUACUUUCUCUUCUCCCUAUUUUUAGGUUGUUAUUUUUUAUUAACCCUACUCUUGGUGAUCAAAUGGCUUUUCAUUUUUUGGGUUAUAUUCCAAGGUUACGAAUAUUGGCUGAAAUAGAAGCUAGCUAACCAAUGGUUUCUGUUUUAACUUAACCUAUACAGGAUAAGAAAACAGAACUAUCUCUCAUGCCAUCACCAUUUUUUCCAUGCCCAUGGGAGAGGCAGAGCCUGACUGAGAUUGUGGUUGCUAUGCCCAUGAUAAGUCUAUACAGCCAAAUUUCUCCCUUUUUUUUUUUUUUUUUUUUUUUUUGACAUGGAAAAGGAAGAGUUGAACUGGAGAUCUGAAGAGUUGUGGAGAAACGGUAUGAGGCUGCAAAAUACCAUUUCUUAAACAGAAAAAUUAUGUUACGAACUUCACCUACUCCAAUGAAUGGGCUGCUCAUCAGAGUCCCCUAUGAAACUUUCUCCAAAGACAUGAGCCUGAAAGUCACUUCUAGAGGGUCUGGUUCAAUGGGUCUGGUUUCAUAAAUGAAGGACCUGAGAAGAUUGAUUUAAUACCACACGUACUGUCAAAGUCAGAUUUGAAAUUCAGUUGCCUGAAACAACCUGUGCUGUUUCCACAUCUGCUGCCUCUCUUUAAAGGUUACACUAAUGAUUCUUCCAAAAGAGAGAAAAAUCUACCUUCAUCCCCUCACUUAAAAAUGGCAGCAUUGCUAUGGCUGAGACUGCAGGGGAAAAGGAAUUUUAUCAUUUUUCUGAUCCUACCAAGAUACUAAAAUGUUCAAAAACAGGAAGAGUGUAUUAUUCUCACCUCUUCUAUAAGAGCAGUCCGCUUCUGCAAAUAGCCCACAGAUCUUAGGGCUCCAAAGACACACUUUAUAAAGUCCAGAUGUUCACAGACACUCUGCAAUCAAUUUCAACCUUGGAUAAUUGCACUCUUUCUAUCCAAGGGCAGUUUCAACAGGACAUGAUAUAUUUUGUUUUUGUUUGCUGUAAGUACCAAUAGCUCAAGAAGUGCUGUUAUAAUAACCCACUUUAUCCCAGCAAGUAGCUGACCUCCAGGGAGCUCAAAACAUUUUUUAUGAGGUUCAUAUUAGUUAUCAAAAUUGAGGUCUUCUGAAGGAAAUAGAAAGUCUAUUACUUCCAUUUUACAGAUAAAGUAGUCAAGGCCCAAAGGAUGAAUGAUUUUUUUUUGUAUCCUCACAAAAUCAAAGCCCUUGCGUUUCUGGGGUCAGGGGUCUGAGAUCUAGAAAUAAAAACAAGAACAAAACCCUGCUGUAUAAAAUAUCUAUCUGGUCAUCUCUUAACCUAAAAGGGAGUGGACUUUUCUUUCUGGCAAAUAAAUCAUAACUUAUACUUGAUUCAUGGAGCAACAAAACAUAUUUCUUUCUCCUCUCAUUUUUUGUUGUUAAGGUUGUUUUAAGUGGGUUUAGCCAUGACAAUGUUAAAUAUUAAAUUUUAAGAAGUUUAACCUGUAUCUUUCUUUUCUACAGGUAUAGUUUGGAGAUAUUCCAGGUUCUGUUCCGGACCAUUAUAAUAAAGCAAAUAUCACAAUUAAUCAAUUCACACAGGUUUUUUGGUUUCCUAGUACAUAUAAAAGUUUUGUUUAUACUAUAUUGUAGUAUAUUGUGUGCAAUAGUAUUAUGUCCAAAACAAUGUACGUAACUUAAUUUUAAAAAGUCUUUAUUAUUUAAUAAUAAUAACAAUCAUCUGAGCUCUCAGCAAGUCACCUUUUUGCUGGUGAAGGUUUUUGCUCCAAUAUUGAUGACUGCUGACUAAUCAGGGUAGUGGUUGCUGAAGGUUGCUGGGGUGGCUGUGGCAAUUUCUAAAAAUAAGACAGCAAUGAAGUUUGCUGCAUUGAUUGACUCUUCCUUUCAUGAAAGAUUUCUCUGUAAAAGGUGAUGCUGUUUGAUAGCAUUUGACCCACGACAGAAUUUAUUUCAAAAUUAGAGUCAAUACUCUCAAACUCUCCUGCUGCUUUAUCAACUAAGUUCACUCAGUAUUCUAAAUUCUUUGUUGUCAUUUCAACAAUGUUCACAACAUCUUCACCAGGAGUAGAUCCCAUUUCAAG